rnacentral:hammerhead_ribozyme from 1 species
GUCCAGCUGAUGAGUCCCGAAAUAGGAUGAAACGCGUGUCCUGGAU